rnacentral:rRNA from 1 species
AGAGCGAACGCUGGCGGCAGGCCUAACACAUGCAAGUCGAGCGCCCGUAGCAAUACGGGAGCGGCAGACGGGAUAGUAACACGUGGGAACGCGCCCUUCGGUUCGGAAUAACUCAGGGAAACUUGAGCUAAUACCGAAUACGCCCUUACGGGGAAAGAUUUAUUGCCGAAGGAACGGCCCGCGUCCGAUUAGCUAGUUGGUGAGGUAAUGGCUCACCAAGGCUACGAUCGGUAGCUGGUCUGAGAGGAUGACCAGCAUCACUGGGACUGAGACACGGCCCAGACUCCUACGGGAGGCAGCAGUGGGGAAUAUUGGACAAUGGGCGAAAGCCUGAUCCAGCCAUGCCGCGUGGAUGAUGAAGGCCUUAGGUUGUAAAGUCUUUAACGGGAGAUAAUGACGGUACCGUAGAAUAAGCCCGGCUAACUUCGCGCCAGCAGCCGC